GAUGAACGCUGGCGGCGUGCUUAACACAUGCAAGUCGAACGAUGACCCGGUGCUUGCACCGGUGAUUAGUGGCGAACGGGUGAGUAACACGUGAGUAACCUGCCCUUAACUCUGGGAUAAGCCUGGGAAACUGGGUCUAAUACCGGAUAUGACUCCUCAUCGCAUGGUGGGGGGUGGAAAGCUUUAUUGUGGUUUUGGAUGGACUCGCGGCCUAUCAGCUUGUUGGUGAGGUAAUGGCUCACCAAGGCGACGACGGGUAGCCGGCCUGAGAGGGUGACCGGCCACACUGGGACUGAGACACGGCCCAGACUCCUACGGGAGGCAGCAGUGGGGAAUAUUGCACAAUGGGCGCAAGCCUGAUGCAGCGACGCCGCGUGAGGGAUGACGGCCUUCGGGUUGUAAACCUCUUUCAGUAGGGAAGAAGCGAAAGUGACGGUACCUGCAGAAGAAGCGCCGGCUAACUACGUGCCAGCAGCCGCGGUAAUACGUAGGGCGCAAGCGUUAUCCGGAAUUAUUGGGCGUAAAGAGCUCGUAGGCGGUUUGUCGCGUCUGCCGUGAAAGUCCGGGGCUCAACUCCGGAUCUGCGGUGGGUACGGGCAGACUAGAGUGAUGUAGGGGAGACUGGAAUUCCUGGUGUAGCGGUGAAAUGCGCAGAUAUCAGGAGGAACACCGAUGGCGAAGGCAGGUCUCUGGGCAUUAACUGACGCUGAGGAGCGAAAGCAUGGGGAGCGAACAGGAUUAGAUACCCUGGUAGUCCAUGCCGUAAACGUUGGGCACUAGGUGUGGGGGACAUUCCACGUUUUCCGCGCCGUAGCUAACGCAUUAAGUGCCCCGCCUGGGGAGUACGGCCGCAAGGCUA
rnacentral:rRNA from 1 species